rfam:Clostridiales bacterium 52_15 Ley3_66761_scaffold_3184, whole genome shotgun sequence.
GAACGCCGUGUGAGGGGAAACUCUCAUGCACGGUGUGGAGUGGGGGAAAAUCCAGAGAUUGCCUCAAAGGAUUACCUAUCACUAU